rnacentral:rRNA from 1 species
AGGACGAACGCUGGCGGCGUGCUUAACACAUGCAAGUCAUGGGGGCCCGCAAGGGCAACCGGCGAACGGGUGCGUAACACGUGAGCAAUCUGCCCAGAUGUGGGGGAUAGCCGGCCCAACGGCCGGGUAAUACCGCAUACGCUCUCCGAGUGGCAUCACUUGGUGACGGAAACCUCCGGGGCAUCUAGAGGAGCUCGCGCCUAUCAGCUAGUUGGUGGGGUAAUGGCCUACCAAGGCAUUGACGGGUAGCUGGUCUGAGAGGAUGGCCAGCCACAUUGGGACUGAGAUACGGACCCAGACUCCGUAACGGGAGGCAGGCAGGUAGGGGGAAUAGUUAGCGUACAAUCGGGACCGGAAAGGCUGACGCGA